UUUAAAUUCCUUUGUGAUGCAAAUCCCACAUGCCCUAAUUUACAUAUAAAUGGAAAAUCUAUUAAAAACGGUCACUUACAAUGGUGAUACGAUGCCUCUUCACCGAGUGGGAGGCUUUCAUUUUUGUAUUGGCGAUUUGAAUGGCAUCGAACCAGGCUGCCUUCUCGAUUUUGUGAGGGUAGUUCAUUGAUCCGUCCUUCACACCGACGCUUCAAACAUCACGAAAACAUUCCAGCACAUGUAAUUUAGCCUUACUGCGAGGGUGGGCGCUACCCCAUGUCUCGUUGCAGAGAGGGAUUGGCACCUUCACAAUGCUUAUACUUCCAACGACCAGGAGCACGCCAAAGAAACUGAACCCUCUCCAACAGCACCUUGGUCAGAGGGGUGAAAGGCAGACAGUUAUCUGCUUACUUCUGGUGAAGAUCAUCGAUUCGAUGAGGAAAAAAUCGUCGACAGUCCAAAGCCAACUUCCAACAAACUUGAUUCUGAGGAUACCGGACACUGACUAAUCGAGUAAUAUGUUGUAAGUUACUGCAUUACUCUACAGAAUUGCAAAUCGGUUGCAUUGGAAGGUGUCCACUUUACACUGACUAUCAACAAAAAUAAAAUGAGAUGUUUUCUUCAUGCAAAGUUCGCCACUCGAAAACCAUGUCCUCGGUGCGGUCUCAAUUAGAUUUCGGAAUCCCUCUGGCCUUUUGCAGUGAAAAGUGAACUGAUCACACAAACACUAGCUAAAUAGGCCCUCGUCAACUGCACUGCAUCCAGACAAGGGAAUGGGGAGGGGAUUCAAGUAAAACCGGUCUUAUAUGCUGUCGCCAGUUCGUUGUUUAUCAGCGUGGGUUUGUGUCCGUUUAGUUUUCGGCUUCCGACGGGCACUGUCCCGGUUUUCAAGAGUGAUCGUUCACUGAAACACCCGCUGUCGAUUCGAUUCCUCCCAUCUCUAAAGUAACGUAGCCUUGCUGGAUCCAAGAUGGCUGCCCACUAGCUGAAGAGUACCAAGCCAAGCCCUCUGGACAGCUAGAGGAAGUGAGGAAAGAGGCGGCGUACGGAGCUCAUUGGCGCUGUAGUUGAAGCAGCGCUGUUUGUUGUUGCUAGGGUGAUUACUGGUGGGGGCGUAGGGGAGGGCAAAACCUGCACAAGACCAGAAAACAGGACAACAUUGCACCAGUUCCUUACUUAUCUUCCAGUGGCACAUGAUAGAGUACAGAUUAGUUAGUGGGAUUAUGAUCAUGAUGUGUUUUAUGUAUUCAGAAAACUGAUUUGAUUGUGACUACUUUUGGUUGCAUUUGCCGUGGGAGAUUCCAUAAUGUGUUUAUUAAACCAAUUCCUGUGUUGGUU